GGGGUCGGCAUGGCUUUGACAGCAAGUCCGGUCGAAAUGUAAGCACGCCGGGCGCACGGAGUACUGCCCGUAAAUCUCGAUCUCCGGAACAAUAAACGGCGAAAAUAACUACGCUCUUGCUGCCUAAUCUUUCCGAGUGAAGGAUUAACGGCCAACGUCCGCUCAAGGAGCGGAGGCGGGAUGCCCUUCCGUAGCCCUGUCCUGUGGCGCCGGGUAUAAGGGUACCAUAAAAACGGGAACAAGCCGACGGGGAGUCCCGACCUGCGGCCGGCAAUCAAACCGGGAAGUAAGCGUGGCCACAGGGUGUUUGUGUCCGGGGCCGCGCCUGACAACCAAUCACAAAACAAGCGUGUAGAAAGCAUCGAGAUUGCUUGUUUGGACCCGGGUUCGACUCCCGGCGGCUCCACA
rnacentral:tmRNA from 1 species